CCCUGGGUGGUGUAAAAGGUUAACACAAUUGGCUGCUAACCAAAAAGUCAGAGGUUCGAGUCUACCCAGAGA
rnacentral:tRNA from 1 species